rnacentral:lncRNA from 1 species
CCCAAGUUGAAUUUUGACGUAAUUUCUCUUGAUGUAGCUAGCAGGUGGCAAAGGUGUAUUUGAAAGUCAGCAGCAUUAUCACAGCGAUUAGAAUGUCCUCCGUCUGCUAGUCUUCUUGAUUCUUAAAUUCUGUGGAGCUCAAAUAGACAACAAAGCUUGUGGAACUGAUUAAGUCUUAGCAUAAAUAUCUAGCCUUUAUCAUGUUGAGACUCCUUAAUAAAUAUUACUCCCUAUUUUUAUAUUUUUAUUUUAUAAAGCAGAAAAAAUAUUUUUAUUUUAUUUUUAUGCCACCACAGUGAAUGUACUUAUGGGUUUUAUGCCACUCGUAUACUCGCAUGGGGCUUACUAUUUUUCACAUUUUUAUUUUCUUUUUAGGAUAAUAUGAACUUAAUUAACUAAGUAGACUAUUUAAAAUAAUUUAAAGGGAAAGGAUAACUACCAAGUUUACCUCUUGGCAAGGCGUUCAGUGUUUUUAAGUCCUCCGAAUGGGACUCUCCGUUUUCUCAAUUGUCCUGGGAUUCUUUGGGUGGCGUAGUCGGUACUUCCGGUGGCGCCUCCUCUUCAGGUAUAGUUAUCUUCUCUUUCCAUACCUGACUCGGUGCUACGGUCUCCUCUGGAUAAUUCUGUUUAAACUGUACUUCUUCUGACCUUACAACUUCUCCUUCAUAGUCUGCCCAUCCGUCCUUGAUGAUUUGCCUCCUCUGGUUACGGUUGCGUCAUUUUCUUACCUGCUUAGAUUCUUCAAAGAUGUAGUUAGGGUCAGUAAAAUAACAGCAUACCUUCUCUGAGGGGAAGUGCAUAUGGGCUUCUCCGGUUCCAAUGUAGAUGAUUGCUUUAACGGUGCUGAGGAACGGUCUUCCAAGGAUGAUGGGUGGAUCGUAUUCGUCUUCUCCCAUGUCAAUAACCUGAAAGUCUGUGUAGACAAAAUGAUCGUCUAUUUUGACUGGGACAUCAGUUACCGUAUCUUUAACUUCUCGAAACGUCUGAUCUGCCAUCUGGAGCUGAAUGUAUGUUGGUUUUAGGGGCAUGGUUCCGAACAAGAGUCGAUAGGUGACUGCGGCCAUUAUGUUGACGCCCGAUCCGGUGUCGCAAGUCGUCUUGUAGAAGUAGUAUCCAUUUAUGGAGCAAUAGAUGCUUGGCAUUCCUGGGUCGUCCUUCUUGGUCAAAAAUGGUGACUUAAGUUGUUGAUCUUGACCUCCAUGAACUGCAGUGACCACCUUAGCUGACUCGGUCCACACUUGCUUGUUCCUGUUCCUCCUGUUGGUCCUCUUCCUUGAUUCACGUCUGGAUUGAUCUGGGAUUUGUGUAGUCUUGUUCUUGAAGAAAAACGUCUCCUUCCUCCCUUUGAUGUAGAAACUGAUCUUGGCAGCACUGGCGUAGAUGACAGCUCCCGAGGUGUUUAAGAAUGGCCUCCCUAGGAUGAUAGGUGCCCUCUCAUCAUUACUGGUCUCUAUCACCACGAAGUCUGCUGGGGCAUAUAAGGUACCAACUCGGACAAAGGUUCUUCAAUAUUCCUUUUGGAAAACUUAUCGUCUGAUCUGCAAACUACAAACACAUGGUUGUUUCUGAUAAAGGAUAUGUAAAGAAUUUUUCAUAGAGUACCCUGGGUAUAAUGUUGACGCUAGAGCCAAAGUCGCAGAGUGCUUCUGGGACGUCCACCAUGCCGAUGGAGAUCGGGAUGACGGGGCGUCCUGGAUCGCCUCUCUUGACCGGCAGAAGGUCAGUAGUGAAUUUAGUGACGGGUUACUCCAAUUACCUGCAUCAAACAUGUCUACAAGAUUUACAGAUUCUAAUCCUUCCGGUUGUGAUGGUAUACCAGGUUUAGUAGCAGGAACAGCAACAACUAUUUGAUUUAAUUGAUAUUCAAUCAUUUUAUUAAAGCUAAUUUGAUUCUUGAUGGCAGUAGAGAAAUUAUUCAUUCUAUUAUUUAUAUUUUCUAGCAUUUUAUCAUUUGAUGCCAAUUUCUUAGAUAGGUUAUCCAUUAGCUUUCCUUGAUUAGACACUAACUCUCUCAGAGGUGGAAAAUUAUUAUUAUUGUUGUAAGAAUUGUUACCUUGAUAAUUACCUGAGUAGUUAGGCCUCUGUUGAUUCCAACCUUGAUUUUGUUGAGGGCGGUUGUAGUUGUUGUUGUUAUUGUUGAUGUAGUUCACAUCCUCAAGCAUCUCAGGGCAGUGAUUGCAUGAGUGUCCAGUGUCUCCACACUCCUCACAAGUCAUGUGAGAGUCAUAGAUGUGCAUAACUUCUUUCUUAUCUCCAGCUCUAUUGUCGAGCUUCUUCAUGAGCAGGUCUAGCUUUUCAGGCAACCUGUCUACCUCCUUGAGCUGCUGCAUACCUCCACCUCUCUUGCGUGUCUGGGUCCUCUCUUCAUUCCAGCUUUGGUUGGGCGCCAUCUUCUCCACAAGAGCUGUGGCUUGUGAUAUGGUGAGUGAUAGGAAUGCUCCUCGAGCUGCAGCAUCCAUGGUUUCUCGGGCACUAUUGCCGAGCCCAUGAUAAAACGUUUGCAUCAGUUGCCAGCUCUCCAUUCCAUGAUGGGGACAUUCUAGGAUGUAGUCUUGGAAGCGCUCCCAUGCUUCUGGAACGGAUUCAUCAUUUUGUUGCUGAAAACUUGUAAUCUUCCCACGGAGAGCUUUGGUCUUGCCCAUGGGAAAGAACUUAGCUAGGAAGUUUGUUGAGCAGAGUGCCCACGUAGUAUUCUUCUCCUUUGUAGCACAGAACAACUACUUCGCUCUCCCUAACAGUGAGAAUGGGAAGAGGCGAAGUAGUAUAGCAUCUCUGGGGCCUCCUGAUAUGGUAAAUGUGUUGCAAAUCUCCAGAAAGUGUUGGAGAUGAGCACUAGCAUCUUCUUGUGCCUUCCCACAGAACUGGUUGGAUUGCACCAUGUUGAUAAGUCCAGGCUUGAGCUCAAAGUUGUCGUCGAUCUCUGCAGCAGGUCCAGUGCGGAUGUUGUCCGUAGUGGGAGCUGAGAACUCACGGAUUGAUUUGUUCGUCAUGGCUUCGAACUCUGAAGCCAAGUUCCGGUGAUCUUCUUGAUUGGAUGAAGCUUCUUGCUGAAGUGUUGAUGAUCCCUUCUUGAGCUUGGCUCUUGUUUUUCUGAAUAAUGCUUUGGGAUUGUCAACAAAAUUUCCUGGAAGAUGUCUUCUAUUCAUACAUUCCCCUGCAUAAGAUAAAAUAGUUAAAUAUCGGGGUAAAACUGUAUGAGAGAAUAGAUAAGCUCAAUCAUAUUAGUGAUGCGAAUGAUAACUCAAAAUCCUUUAUUCAUUGUUGAUUAGUAAUCAACCUUCCUCGGCAACGGUGCCAAAAAUGCUUGUUGGGUAUUCUUAACAUCAUUACCAAAAGUAGACUUAGUUUUCUAAUUCUGAUAACGGUGCCAAAAAUGCCAAACCUAUCCCUCAUACCACUUCAGCCAAGUUGUCAUCCCCACCAUGAUAUAAGAGACGCGGUAUUGAAAUAUGCAAUUGCUCUUCUAAAUAAAUAAUGAAUGAGAUCUGCAAGCGCAUAGAUUAAUACCAAUGUAGCAUUUUAACCUGGAAGUAUUCUAGGUAUCGUUAUUUAUAUUUUUACCACUAGGAAGGGAUUAACAAUCAUCAAUAUUGAUUACAGAAUAGAAUAUGAGAUUGAGUAUCUAUCAUUGCAUGUAUAAUUGAGAACAUUUAUCUAACUCUUUCAUACAGGGAUAAGUGUCACAUAAAAGAUAUAAAACAAUGAAUAGUGACAAAGAUAAUUGAUUUGAUCAGCAUAACUUAGCCACAUAUAAAUAUGAUAAGCACCUCAAUUAGAUACUCUAGAAAGUCAUUAGCAUGGAAUUAGAAUGAACUACAAGAAUAUUUCCUAAGUUAUUCUCAACUAUAUAGUCUAGCAUUAUCAUAGUUAGUGCAAGCAUACUUAGCAAUCAUUGCGAGACAAGACUACGCCCAUGCAUAGUGAUAUUAGCAAGGUAAAUGAGAAACAUAGCAAUCACUCCCCUGUAAUAAUAUUACUCUGCCAGCCCAAUACACGAGAGGGGGACUAUAUAAGUAUCAAUGAAGCUGUCACUAUCACGAACUACCCCACGAUCUGGCAUAUUGGGUACAAUCGCAGAUAAAUACGGUAUAAGCACCACGCCUACACAAUAUCUAUCAUUUACCCAUGGAUCCGAUGGAUAAACGCUAUACGAUCCUAAGCAUGUAUAUAGAUCCAAUCUAACUAAGCCAAGUAUAUAACUAUGAUAAACUAAGAACAAUAUAAUCUUGAAUAUAAACAAGUAGAGCAAAGUCAUAAGCAAUAUAUUGAAGUAGAACAAAGUCAUAUUCAUAAUAUUGAAGAACAAAGAUGAUUAGAAGAACAAUUAGAAGAACAAUUAGAGAAUUACCAAGAAUCCUCUUGACAGAUCCGGAAACCAAUCGAAGAUUGACGCCUUCUAGUUCUAAUCCUAUGCAGCUAUGCUAAUCUAGAUAUCUAAUUGAUGUGGUGGUUCUAAUCUUGAUCAGAGGCUUCUUCUCCCUUGAGAAUAAUGAAUUAGGGUUGAGAGGCUCUCCUCCUCCAGGGGCCAGGGGGUCUGGUUUUAUAGUCCCUUCAAGUGAAUAUGGGCGUUGGAUCAAACCGACAUUGAUUGAAUGGUUAUCCUUGAUCCUUUAGGUCGGUGGAGAUCUUUCCCGAAAGAGAGUCCUGAUUGGACUCAGAAGGGGGACGGGCACCCAGGUCAACUGGGCGGGCGCCCAGUGCCUGGCCCCGUUCAGCCUCCGCUUCCUUCCCGUGGCUUCUAGAGUCUUCUAGAUGUAAGAUAAUUGUGCGGCACGUUGAUAUCUCUAUGUAAUCCCGACGUGUGGGCCUUUCUUCCGUAUUUCCUGAUAACCCCCUGCAGAAAUAGACAAACACCAAAACUCGUGGAAUUCUGUCAGAUAAAACCCUAUGUCUAGAUGUUGAUUUCAUUUGGAUCCUUAUCUUUGUUUAUUUGAUAAUUAAAUUUGAUACUUAAGGACCGUCAACACCAAGCACCCCGCGACUUGUUGCACUCCCUUGACAUCUCGAAUCAGCCCCAUUCUUGCUAUGGCCGAGACUUUCUCGGGGUUGGCCUCGAUGCCGCGUUGGGAGACUAUGUAACCUAAGAGCAUGCCUCGAGGUACGCCAAAGACGCACUUCUCGGGGUUGAGUUUGAUCUUAUUGGCGCGUAGACAACCGAAAGCGAUUUCGAGGUCCUAAAUCAGGUCGCCUCGUUUCUUCGAUUUGAUGACGAUGUCAUCGACGUAUGCCUCGACCGUUGACCCUAUGUGUUUGCCGAACACGUGGAGCAUGCAUUGCUGGUAUGUCUCCCCAGCGUUUUGAAGCUCGAAGGGCAUGGUUACGUAGCAAUACAUCCCAAAAGGCGUAAUGAAAGAUGUCAUGAGCUGGUCGGACUCUUACAUUUUUGUUUGAUGGUAACCUGAAUAUGCAUCAAGGAAUGAAAGGGUUUCACAUCCCGUGGUAGAAUCAACAAUUUGAUCGAUACGUGGUAAAUGGAAAGGAACUUUUGGACAUGCUUUAUUCAAACUCGUGUAAUCGACACACAUCCUCAUUUUCCCAUUCCUUUUCUUAACUAAUACAGGGUUUGCUAACCAGUCGGGAUGGUGAACCUCCUUGAUGAAUCUGGCCGUCAAAAGCUUGUGGAUCUCCUCGCCAAUGAUCUUGCGUUUCUCCUCGUCGAAGCGACGCAGUCGUUGUUUCACUAGCUUGGAACCGGCUCGAAUUUCCAAGGAGUGCUCAGCGACUUCCCUCGGUAUGCCUGGCAUGUGCCGAGGGACUCCAUGCAAACAUGUCGGCAUUUGCGUGGAGAAAGUCAAUGAGCACGGCUUCCUAUUUGGGGUCGAGGUCGGCGCUGAUCGUCAGCGCCUUGCCGUCGGAGCCAUUGGGGUCGAGCAGGAUCUUCUUCGUGCCUUCCGCUGGUUCGAAGCUGCCCGCGUGACGCUUAGGCUCCGGAUCCUCUGCAGCAAGGGCCUCGAGCCUCGAAGCGAGUUCGACAGAACCUUCGACGGCUUCCCCGUACUCGACGCACUCGACGUCGCACUCGUACGCAUGUUCGUAGGAGCUGACAGUGAUGACCCCCUUGGGCCCAGGCAUCUUUACCUUCAAGUAUGUGUAGUUGGGGAUAGCCAUGAAUUUGGCGUAGCCUGGGUGUCCAAUGAUGGCGUGGUAUGUGCCUCGAAAUCCCACCACCUCAAAGGUGAGAACCUCCUUUCUGAAGUUGGCCACCGUGCCGAAACAGACCGGCAGGUCGAUUCGACCUACCGACAACGCCUUCUUCCCUAGUACGACACCAUGGAAGCCGACCGCGCUUGGUUGGAGCUGUGCUCUUUCGAUGCCGAGGAGGUCGAGGGUCUCGAGGUAGAUGAUGUUCAGGCUGCUGUCGCCAUCCAUCAGCACCUUCGAGCAUUGUUCGCCUAAACGGCCGUUUAGACCGUUUAAACGCCGUGUAAACGCUACACAAUGAUACACCGUUUCCGUUUAAUCAUCUGUUUAGUCCGUUUAAUUGACCGUUUAGCCCGUUUAAUGGACUGUUUAGCCCGAAUAAUGGCUAAACGGCAGGUGACCGACUGUUUACCGUUUAGCGUUUAGGAAAACAUUGCCUUCGAGAGUCUGGUGUUGACGAUGAUGGGGUCGACAACGAGCGGGUAGACGCCAGGGGCGACCACCUUGUCGGGAUGGUCGUCACGAUUGAAGAUGAUGGGGGUGCUCGACCAGUUGAGGUACUGGGGAACCGCCAUCCUUGCUACAAAGACCUCUUGGCGUUCCCUCUUGCGCUGCCUUGUAGUUAGCUGCGUCGAGGGUCCACCAUAAAUCAUGUAGCAGUCAUGGAUGGUUGGGAAACCCUCGUCUUCUUUGUCGUCCCCCUUGUCACCGCUCUUUUCUUUCUUUUGGUCAUCCUUCUUAAGCCCCAGGCCGUCGAAAUAUCUUUUCAGCAUGCGGCAGUCUUCAAGCUUGUUAUUUGCCCCUCCCUUAUGAUUAGGGCAGGGCUCCUUUAGCAUCUUGUCGAAGAUAGCUCCCUCGGGGGGGGGUCCUCGAGGCUUUUUACGCUCCAUGGCGGCGACGAGAUCAUCGUCGAGGGCCUCCCGUUUGAACGGUCGUGCUUUCUUCUUCUUCUUGCUUUUCUUGGGCCCUCGACUGGGGCCCUCAUUGUCGUCGGCUAGCGCCUUGCCUUUCCUUCCUUCGUAGCUGAAGAAAGCACCAACCGCUUCCUCCCCUGCAGCAUAGUUUGCCACCACAUCCAUUAGCUGGUCGACGGUCUAAGGGCGAUUCCGACCCAACUCCCGCACUAGGUCUCUGCAGGUGGUGCCUGAGACAAAGGCCAGGAUGACGUCAUGGUCGGGGAUGUGCGGCAGCUCGGUGCGCUACUUCGAGAAGCGCCGAGCAUAUUCUCGGAGGGUUUCUCCUGAUUUCUGCUUGCACUUGCUGAGGUCCCACGAAUUGCCGGGUCGUAUGUAGGUCCCUUUGAAGUUGCCUUCGAACACCCUGACCAAAUCGGUCCAGUCGUGGAUCUAGUUGGUAGGGAGUUCCCCAAGCCACCUGCGGGCGGUGUCGGAGAGAAAGAGCGGCAACUAACGGAUGAUGGCUCGAUCAUCUCCUCGAGCGCCUCCCAACUGACAUGCUAGUCGGAAGUCUGCCAGCCACAGUUCCGGCUUGGUUUCGCCGUUGUAUUUGGCAAUGCUGGUUUGGGCUCAAAACGGGUUGGGCAACGGCGUGCUGCGGAUCGCUCUGCUGAACACACGAGGGCCCGGUGGUUCUGAGGCCAUCCGGUCCUUGUUGCAGUCGUAUCGUCCGCCACGGUGGUCGCUGUAGCCGCGUUCCUCUACAUCCCCAUGUCGACGGCGACGAUACUCGUUGAUGUCGUGUCGUCCGUCGUGUCACUAUUGAUUGUCGACAGGGUGGUCUUGGACAGGCGCUGUUUUCUUUCCUCGAGGGGGUGGUUGCUGAUGGACAGACACCUCCCUUUCAUUUCGGACCGGCUCGUCGCGCUUCUCCGAGACCGCCCCUCGACGUCGAGAGGCCGAGCUCUCGGCUUGCUGAGCUGCCGCCACCUGAAGUAGAGUUUGCACCUUGUCUCGAAUGCGCCGUGCUUGGGAGCUCGAGGGUUCAGGCAUGUUACGUAGUAGCAUGGUCUACGCCACGACAUUCUGGCCUGCUCGAGGGAAACGGCUGAUAGGCUGUUCUGGUUCCCCGUCUCCGACGAUCUGCCAGUGCACUUCUCGAGCUCGCCUGUGUGCACCUCCGCCAUGCGGGUAUGGUUGUUCCUGCUCAAGGGCCCGCUCGAGCUGGGUGAGGCGCUCGCGAUCUUCAUCAAGCUUUGCUUUGAGCUCUGAUAACUGCGCAAGUUGCACGGCUUUGUCUUCCUGAGGCGGAGGGUCGACCUGACCGUUGUUCCCAGGAGUCCUGGGGUCCUCCGUUGCUACAGGGGCUCGACCGCAGGUGACGGCGUCUUGUGUUUCGUCUGUGGUCUCCACCUCCCCAUUGAUGAUGAAGCAUUCCCUAGUAGGGUCGUAGCUGUCAGAUUCAGAGUCGGGAUCUGGCUCGGCGGCAUAGAAACAUCCGCGUCCUUCCUCCACCAGCCGCUGCCUGAGCGAGGUGAUUGUGUAUCGCCCGGGUCCUAGGCAUCGGAGGCCUUGUACCUGGGAGAAAUCUGGCAGCUCAGCCGCUUGCUGUUGUGACCCAGCGUCUCACGGGAGGACCAUUGGUCGCUCCACGUACGUUUGGGCGUUUGGGCAUAUUGUCCUGGCGAGUGAUGCAGCGGCGUUGUCCAGACCGAACAGGUACGUUCUUCUAGAGGCGAACAACCCGUGCGGUAGCAGUGUCGUCGAGGGCGAGAGCACACAAGGCGCGUCGUCGCCCAAGGUCGUCACGCGGCCCUCGUGACGUCGGGCCGCCGUAUCCGCGGCUUCGACGCGUGGGGCUAUCGAUUCCUACACCACCGCUCGCCUAGCACGAGCUGAUGACCGUGCAGCGGCAGAGGGGCGGUGGCGGUGCUGUCCACGCCUCUUCUUAGGUGGGGAGGCGUGGUGGCGAGGCCGUCUUGGGGCCUUCAGUCUUGCGAAUGCAAUGCGGGCUCCUCCGAGUCCCUUGACCGAGAGCAGGAUCAUGUCGUAGCCGAAACUGGUGGACAUAAACUCGAGGCUCCCGAACCAAAUCACCAUGGAGCGCGGGAUCGGUGAAACGAGAGUGGCCAUCUAGAGAGAGAUGGGAAGUCAGUGAAAAAACACGUAGGACCCCUACCUGGCGCGCCAACUGUCGGUGUUUUACCCCUGGGGGUCACACCAACGAGUGAAACUUGUGUGCGUGUUCCCUUUCCCAGAUGGUGAUGUAAGAAAGACACAAAGAUUUAUCCUGGUUCGGGCAAGAGAAGGCCCUACGUCUAGCGGGGGGGAUGUUUCUAUUAUCUUGCACCUAAGUGCUUGUACAGGGGCGAAUACAAGUCGGUGUUGUGAUGGAUUCUAAGUUCUAGACGGAGGUGGUGUAUCGUUGUUCUCUACAUAUCUCUUCCUAUGCCUCCCCUUUUAUAGUCAAAGGAGAGACCUAGGUUACAUGGCGUAGGUGAUAGAGUAGGGGUCGAUAGGGGCGUGGAGCGCUGACCUACACGAGGCUUCCGUACCAGCGUGGCCUUGAGCCGUCUUGUUCCACAGUACUUGGGUGAUGAUUACGCGUGCCCCUGAAUUCAGCUCCUUCGCGCUGUCCUGGACCGGCUUAACCGUGGGCAUGCCUGUACGUCGUGGUUGCAGUCGUGUCAGAGUGGUUGAGGUGCCGUCUUUUAUUGCCCGACUCUUCUCUUGGAUGGUACGUGCCCGCUCGAGAGUGAGAUGUCGCGCAAAGCCCUGCUGAAUGGAGCGCUGACUUUGGACAUCUCGAGGGGGGCCGUGACAUGACAUUCCUUCUGUCUCACCGCACUCAGCCUUACUCUCACUCUUCUGAAAGGAUAAAUCUCCAAAAAGGGGUGAUUGGAUGGGUGCUCGCUCCCUAUCACGCUUCCCGUGACUGUCGGGUUAGGUGAGAACACGGCAGGCGCAUUAAAUGACCUGGUUCCCGUACUCGCGGCAGGCGGCGGACGGCGUCCUUGCGCUCGAGGCCUGUCGUUUCGUACGAGCCAAUUCCGUAUUCGAUGGUCGCCGUUCUGUCGAGCCUUGGUUGAUUCGUACGACCCUUUCUCCGUGUUUGAGGCUAUGGUCGUCAUCGCAUUUUGGUGAUCGCGCGUGCGAACGGGGGGCGUCGAGUCAGGAGCCUCGACUCACGUACGGGUCCUUUCAUUAUAUGCAUCGGUUAGGGUACCCCUUACUGAUACGCUCGACAAUCAUGGAGGUUUUCAUGGAUGAUUUUACCGUCUAUGGCAAAACCUUCGAUCAUUGUUUGGAGAAUUUAGAUAGAGUCUUGCAGCGAUGUGAAGAAAAGCACUUAAUCCUGAACUCGGAGAAAUGCCAUUUUAUGGUUCAGGAAGGAAUAGUGCUAGGACAUAAAGUGUCCGAAUGUGGUAUAGAGGUGGACAAAGCAAAGAUUGAAGUUAUUGAAAAACUUCCACCUCCCACGAAUGUGAAAGGAAUCCAUAGCUUUUUUGGACAUGCAGGGUUUUAUAGACGCUUUAUCAAGAACUUCUCUCAAAUUGCUAGACCCCUAACUAGUCUCCUAGCUAAGGAUGCACCUUUCAUCUUUAGUGAUGUGUGUCAUGACUCUUUUCAAACUCUCAAGAAAGCACUCAUCUCAGCCCCGAUUAUCCAACCACCUGAUUGGAAUCUUCCUUUUGAGAUCAUGUGUGAUGCUAGCGAUUUUGUGGUUGGUGCCGUUUUAGGACAAACCAAGGUAAAAAGCAUUAUGCCAUAUCCUACGCUAGCAAAACUUUGUCUGGACCAUGUUGACGGUCCUUAAUGCUCACAUCUAACUAUCAACUAAUCAUAAAAAAGGAUCCAAAUGCAACCAACACCUAGACUUAGGGUUUUAUCUGAUAGAAUUCCACGAGUUUUGGUGUUUGUCUAUUUCUGCAGGGGGUUAUCAGGAAAUAUGGAGGAAAGGCCCACAUGUCGGGUUUACAUAGAGAUUAACGUGCCGUGCAAUUUUCUAUCAUCUAGAAGACUACAGAAGCCACGGGAACGAACGGGAGGCCGAACGGGCCCGGGGGCAGGGCGCCCGCCCUCCCCCCUUGGGCGCCCGCCCUGCUAUAGUGCCCAAUUAGAGUCCUUUUCGCGAAUCGUGCUCCACCAACCUAAGGUGUAACACCCCAGUGUUAUGGUUGCAUCAAGCAUGUGCAUAGCAUGAGCAUCAUCAUUUACUCAAAGCAUAUCAUGAUCAUCAUCUAUCUUGAGCCAUGUCAUUCUAUGCAAAAAUGUGUUUUAAAUUGCUUAAAUUGGCUUCCUAUGCUUAUGUUUGAGUGAACAAUGCUUGUGUUUGUGCUUAAUGCCUUGGUAAUUAGUUUAUCUAUGCUUAACUUAAUCUUGGGAACAAUGUUCAUGUUGAUCACUUUUCCAAAAUAUGCUUUUAAGUCAUACUUAUGAAAAUAGACCCUAGAAACCUCUUUUUCUUAGGAUUUUAAAAAGUGUUUCAUAAAAUGUUUGCAUGUCAAAACUUUCUACAGCAACGUUGUAGUAAAUUUUAUAAGGAACAAAAGUUGUUUUAUGGCCAUCUCAUGAAAAUGAUCACAAAUAGCUAAAAAGUGACCUACAAGGCAGAUUUGGGGCUGUUUUCAACACUUAGAAAAUUUUCUAAGUCUUGGAACGAAAACAGUUUGCUCGAUUGAUUUUGAAAACUUCAUAACUCUCAAUCCAAGCCGAUCUAGCUCUUGCUCCAGUUGACAAAGUUUUAGAUCUCGCUUAGUUCUCCAAGUUUGUCAACUACGCCAUCUUCUAAUUCGCUCUGGUUUGGGAGAUAAUCGCCGGUGAAGUGGCUCUGUCAGACCAGCACCCUUUCUUCUGAAUCGAGCCUGAGCUCGUCGACGUGGCCGACCGCCGGCAGAGCUCCGUCGCCAUUUGUCGACCACACGCUGCUCCUGGCCUCGCUUGUCAGCCAUCGUCGCGUGCAUGACCUCCACGGCGACGUCCCGAGCGAAGUGGACGCGUCCACUCGCUCUGCCUCGCCCUCCUUCGCCUGAAACUCGCCCGCAGCGAGCUCUCCGCCGCGAGCUCACUCCGGCGAGCUCGUGUGCGCUCCUCACUGCGCCUCCGUCCACCAAACUCCACCCAAAGCUCCGCCGUGAGCCGCUCUCUAAGCUCCACCCUCUAACUCGCCGAGAAACCCACCGGUGAGCCGACAUUCCCUUCUUCCCCCAAAUCGGUUCGCCGUGACCUUCUUCUCCGGCGAACUCAAUGCCGAGCGCUGUGAGGCUUCUCAUCGUCUUUGGUUAGGUCCUAGAGGUAGCUUAGGUCCUUAGCGAGCUUUUGCGCCACCUGGUGGAUGCUCUACCGGGUUCUCCGUCGCCGGACACGGUGCGCAGCGCCGCCGUGCUUCCGCCGGAGUUGGGUGCUCUCGUGGCCAGCGCGUUCCACGGGGAUCCAGGCCAAGCCGCGCACCUAGGAAGCUUCGCCGUACUCCGCUGGUGCUGUAGAAGGCCUUAGGUCGCGCUCUACCGGCCUGAGGGCUCCGGCGUAACGCCGAGCACCUCCGCCGAGCCGCCAUUGUCGACGGCGAGCCUCUUCCGGUGGCUCCGCCGUGGGAAAAGUGGGGUCAAUCGAGUCGUUAGGGUUUGGGGAUCACGCUGAUGCCCUUGGCUUGGCCGGAGACCUCGCCGUCGCGGAGAAAUCGCCGGCGAAAGUCGCCUCGGCCGCGAGGAAGAAGAGCCUGACAGAUGGGACCCACUGUCAGCGACUCUCUCUUUCCCUCCUUUUCUUUUAUUCAAAAUCCUGAUUUUUGGCUUUCUUGCAAAAAUCAUAUCUCCAGUUUCUGAGAUCCAAAAAUUGUGAAACAAAUUUUUGUGGAGUUUCUUGAGAUGGCUAGUAUUUAAUAAAAAUAUAAAAUGAAUCAUGUUUUCUGAGAAAUCAUUUAUUAAGGAUUUAAUCUUGUUAUUUAUGGAAAAAUGCAUAUCUCUUGUUAUACUGCUUAGUUUGCUUUGAAAAUUUUAUGGUAGCCUUUGCAUGGCAUUAGAGUGCUCGGAUAAUUAUUUCAUGAUUUUUAGAGCACUGCAGUUGGGAUACGUAAUUUGUGUUUGAGAUAUGGCUUGUUUCUUUAAAUAAAUCAUAUAAAAUAAUUGGUGCUUAUGCUGAUGUUCUACUUUGGUGGUAAGUUUGUUUAUGGUACUCCUAAGAUGUAAAUAAUCUGAAAUCUGUUGUUUAACACCAUAUAAGUAUUGUUUCUAAAUUUAUGAAAUAAAUGCCUUGAUACGUGUUAAAUACAUAUCUUUAUUUUGGUAUGUGCAUUGCUGUGAAAUUUUUAUGGUGAUACUUUGAUGGUGUCCUUGUGCUUCUGUAAUUGUUGUAGAUUUUUCUGAGCAUUUGAACUAGUAUCUUGUAAUUAUGCUCUUAUUUAGAGUUAAUUAAUAAAUGCCUUGUUAAAUAAAUGUUUUGGGGUUUCCAUCUGAUGAUCUGGUAACCUUGUAAUAUGUUUGUGCUCAUAGGCCAUGUGGUUGGCAUGGUUUGUGUCUUGAUCAUGUCAUUAAAUAAUUAACUAUUGGGUUUAAUGCUGUUCUGGACAGCAAGGUAGCAAUUUGGUUAUUACUUAAUGAUAACUUGACUUUCUGUGGAACUUGUCUAAAGCAAAGAUGUUCCAAACUUGUUGAACUAACUAUGGUUUAAAUUUGAGGUCGUUUGGCCAAGUAGUUUAAAAGUUAUAGCUGUUUCAAGUUGGGUUCUAGGAAUAGGUGUUCUCUGUUUUUCUGGGACAGAACCUGGAACUUUGUUUAAAUGACCAGUCUCAUGUAUGAAUCUUGCUGUCAUGUUUAAAGAUUAAUUGUAGACAAUUUCAUAAGCUUUCCAGAAUGUCCUUACUCAUGUUUGUUGGACCUGCCUAUAUUUAGUUAUGAUUUAUUUACUGAGCCUCUCUGUUUGUGUGUUUGCUGCCUUAGUGUCUUGAAAGGUUUUGGGUUAUGUUAACUUGUUCAAUUAUGCGAGUUAGUAUAACUUUUGUCCGUAAAUGAGUGUCCAGUGAGUUGCUUGUGUCAUUAAGCAUUCAUCGUUAGCAUGUGCAUUAUCUUAUCGUUCGAGCAUGCAAUAGGUGCACCGGACGUGGCCGUUUCCUUCGAGCUCCAAGCGAAUCCCGAAGGUCAGGAGGGCAGCCAGGAGGUGGAGGUCCAGCAAGCCAGACUCGAGGAGCCCGAAGAAGAAGUUGAGUGCCCGAAUCACGAGCCGGCAUCAUUCGUGAAAGGCAAGCCCCGGAGCAUUCUAAGUCUCCUUCUAUUUUCGAAAGUUUACUUAAUAUGUUAUACCUAUUGAUGCAUUAAGUCUAGGAGUUGUGAUGAAACUGUUGCUGCAUUCUACUCUAUCCUUGUCCAGAUAACUCACCCUCCCUGGUUGUAGAGUUAGGAUCGAGUAGCAGCUUAGAUAUGCUUUAAUCGGUAGAAGUCGGGUGAUAUCCUGUCAUCCGCGCGAUAUAGGGUUAUGUCGGAUCACGAUGGUCUAUAUGUGCUAUCGUGGAUGGAACCUGAUUAAAGUGAGUUAAGCCGGGCGGAGUUUUGCAAGUUUGUAGUAACUCCGUCUGUGGCAGCUAAGGACUGAUCGUUGUACGUCCUCUUGUCAUGUUGAACGCAUGCCUAACACUUAGUUGGCCGGAUAACUCGUUCCGACCGCGAAGCCGAGUAGUAUGACUCAGGCCGGAAGACCGGCAAGUAUAAAGUGCGCACUACCGGAGGAAGUGCGGUGUGCGGGGGACCAUUGGCGUAAGUCCAAAGGCAGGUGAGUUAAAAUUCCUGACCUCCCUGGCAGAGUGGUAGCCCUUGGAGUGCGGCGCUGAUCGGAACCGCGAUUUCUGAGUUGUACCAAAAGUGACCCGUGGGCUCUCCGGCAGGGGAUGCCUGGGUGAGUGCUAGGAAUAAUCCUCCAGCUGGAUAGGAAUUCGAUUCGAAUCGCCGUCUCUCCCGGUUAGUGAUAACUUGACAGAGCAGCGGCAAACGUAGCAUUCACUAAUGAAUUUGGUUCAUGAUGAUGAUGAUAGCAAGAAGAACAUAUGAUGAAUUUGAUAUGGUUAUUAUUGUUUGUAAUAAUCAAGUGAUGUGUUGUAGUACAGGUGCUAAUCUAGUGGUAGGCUGAUGAUAAAUAAAUAUGAUGCUCUUAAAAUAACUUAGUUGUAAGUUAAGCUUUUGGCAAAAGGUGAGUCAACCAACUCCACCUAAGAUUUAGCCUUGCAUGAUCCUUGGUGUCUUUUGUGUUUUACUAGACGGGUAAGUCUAGCUGAGUACAUCCUCGUACUCAGGGUUUAUUCCCACCUGUUGCAGAUGAUAUCUUCUAUGACGGUUUCUGCAAGACCUGUCUCCAUCCCGCUGGGGAUGAGGACUAACCGUUGGGCACGGUUCUCUACUCUUCUCGUCUAUGAGGCUUUUUGAAGGAUGGCAUAGACUCUGGCAGUAACAAAACUUGUGAACUGAACUUUGAACAAGUGUGUGUAACUAUUUUGCUUCCGCUACUUCAAACUUGGGUUGUAAUAACUUAAUGACUCCGAUGUGGUGCCGCUUCAUCGGCAAUGACUGACUAUGUAACAUUCGUUGUGUUUAUGUUGAACUAUUACGAUCUUGGUUUGUUGCGAGUUGGUUUGAAGUCCUUCGUGAUUUCGAUUGACUACCGGGAUUAUAUGGGCUCAAGUUUAGAAACUUGAUUGUUUGACGAUCGUUUCUGCACUUGAACUCUUAUAAUUUGGUCGGUUCUGUGACAGCUGGCAUCGGAGCAAGUUCAGCAUUAUAAAUGCAGCGUUUGUGUAUUUAAAACAAAAGAGUUUUAAAUAAAAUACUGUAAAACAAAUAAUUAAGUUAUGCCUGUGGUCGAAUCCUCCUUGCCCACAUAAGGACUAUAGGUGGCUAUUUAAGUACUGACUUGGGGGGGGGGUUUAUUUAUGCAUCUCCGGCAGUACUCAGGUAUGGAUGUGUGAUGACCGCACUAUGCUACCCUGUGGUCUAAUGGUGGAGGUAGCCUUCAUAUGUGAAUUAGCCACAUAUGUCGCUAGAUUUAAAUUAUGUAACGUCGCACCUACGCUCGGGUAAGUGUGAGCUGUGAGAGCAUGAUCGUCCAAACGGCGGUCUAGGGGAGUGUUCGCGGUGGUUUUCUGGAGUGGUUACAUGUCGAAACCAUGAAACCACGAAAGAAACUUAAUUGGGGAGCAUUUAAUUUCUCGGGUAGUUGUGGUGUCAUUGUUUGGGGCAUGUUGGGCAUGUCCGAGCAAUGUGCACUUAGUUUACUGCUUUCUUGAGUGAUAUAUAUUGGGAACUGUUGGGCUGAAAUGAAGUUUUCUGCAGGUACUCUAACAGCGCACGUGUAAACCGAUAGUUACCGUAUCGAGAGACGAAUGUAUGCCACCGUAUAUCCAUUAGAAUAUUAAUUUUCUAAGUUUGUGAGGACGUACGGUUCGUGCAUGCAUCAUGUCGCAUUCAUACAUACAUUCUGUCUACUCCUUCCCUUACAAUUUUGUCCCUUUUCAAUAAAUGAAUGAUUGCUUAACUAAUCCUCUGUUACCCAAGGUGUUCCUAUUCCCUUCCACAGAUGGAUGCACCCGCUUCACCUCUUCCCAGUGACACUUUCUUGCACGAGUUUGGCACUCCUACCCUGCUCUGGAGAGUGUUACGGACUGUUGGGUAUACUGAGCCAUCUCAGUAUUCUUGGUGGGAGAUGGAGAGCACAGGAGGGAUCCAGUGGUUUGCUGUGCAGGGAGUUGUCCCUCCACAUGGGGACAAGCCUGCAUGGACAGGCUGGACUUGCAGCUCUGAUGGGCAGACUCCUUGGGAGGCAGCUCAGGUUGCAGCCCAGACUAUCCUGCUCGAUAUCUGUCAGAGGUGUGGUGACGAGCUGACGGGAGGACCAGCGGCCUCCAUUCCUAGUGCUGACCCAGCAGCCGCGGAAUGGAAACAGGCUGAUGGUUGUGCUUUGGUUCGAGGCAGGGCAGAGAGAGCUGAGAGUUCUAGUCCUGCGAUGAGUGCUAUGAUGGCGGUGCUCAAGCUGAUUAGUCAGCGAGAGGGCACCUAUGCACAGGUGAUGAUGGCUAUUCGCAGGGCCCAGGAGAUGCAGCGAAAGGCUGAAAGGCGUGCUCGCAAGUUUCACAAGCAAGCUAGACUCCUGGAGCAAGCUCAGAAGGACCGCAAUGACUGGGAAGACAUUGCGGAGUAUCGUAGGCAACAGUGGGUGAAGGCCAUCAGAGAGAGAGAUCAUAAGCAGGAUCAGAUGAGCCAGUUAGCUAGAGAGAAGGAGACCUUGCAGGAGCGCUUGGUGCAGCUCACCCUUGAGAGGGAUACUGCACUCCGUGUGUCGGAGAACAGGCGCCAAGCAUGGGAGAUGCACCGAGUUCAGUCGCUUGAGCGGGAGAACUAUCUGCAGUAUCAGAUUGAGGCUGGUCUUGUGGAGAUUCACCGUCUCAACAACUUGCUACACCCUGUUCCUCGCCCUAUACCCGUGUAUCCCGAGGUAGGACCUCAGGUGAUUGUGGCCGAUGAUGAUGGUAUGGAGGUCGAUGGACCAGCAGCGGCUGCACCACCUUUACACGAGGACGUGGAGGACGAGGAGCUUGAGCCGGUUAGCGACGAGGAUGGAGAGGCGAUCUUCGACGCUGACUCGGACGACGAGCCUGGAGUGUAGGGAGUAGUGGGUAGUGUGACCCAAGGAUCUUUUGUAGUAUGCCAGUCGGCUGUGGUGCUUUUGUAACCAUGUUGUAAUCCGAAACUUUGACCUUGACUCAUGGCAUGUACUGUGUUGGUGUAAUAACUUUAUGGACCCUAUGUGCAGUCUUUAUGAUCGUUAUGUUAUGCCGAUGUUUUCCGUUGUGGUGCGUAUUGCGGAUGUCUAUGUCAUGUGUUGGAUUGGUGAUGUUGUUUUGUGGAAUGGAAUUGUUGUGCCUUUCUGUAAAGCUAUUCUCUCGAAUACUUUCAGGCAUGAAUAUAAGUUCUUCUACGGCAAAUCUUGUCAUCAUCAAUACUCACUGACUGUGUCUUUACAGAUGUCUCGUGGCACCCGGGGUGCGGAACAGCGUGCAAACAUGAAUCCACCACCUCCUCCUCCACCACCAAAUCCAGCUGAGCUGAUGCAAAUGAUGGUGGAAAAUCAGAGGAUGCUCACUGAGACCAUCAAUCGUAUGGCAAAUCAGGGUGGCCGUAAUGCACAGGAAGGGCCAGCUCCUAACCAGUACAGUAGCUUCAAGGACUUCAUGGAUACGAAGCCCCCACCUUUCAGAGAAGCUGAAGAACCCGUUCAAGCUGAAGAGUGGCUGAAUACGGUGGAACAAAAGUUUCGCCUACUUCGGUUGACUGAAGGUUUGAAGUCGGAGUAUGUAGCUCACCAACUGCAACGACCGGCAGGCAUCUGGUGGAAUCAGUACCGAGAAGCUCUACCGGCUGACACGGUGAUUGAUUGGAAUCUUUUCCGUGAGGCUUUCAAAGGGCAUUUCAUUCCUCCGGGUGUUAUGGAGAUGAAGCACACCGAGUUCAUGCAGUUGACUCAGGGCAACAAGACUCUGAAGGUGUAUUUGCAUGCUUUCAAUCACUUGUCUAGAUAUGCUCCUGAGUUUGUGAACACGGAGGCGAAAAAGAUCGCUAGUUUCAAGCGGGGUUUGGGUCCCAAAUUGCUGAAGACUAUGGGCCGCUCUAAGUGUGCAACUUUCAAUGAGUUUGUCAGUGAUGCUCUCACCCAAGAGAACUAUAACACUGUGUACACUGCGACCAAGACUCACAAGAGGGCUUUUGAGGCCAGUGCUGGGUCAUCUCAGUCCAAGGCUCCCGUGGCAGCUAAGCCACCAUUCCGUGCUCCAACCCCCAACCAGCGAUACCGCCCUCCGGUGAAGAAGAAUCAGGCAAAGACGGGUUUUCGCAAGGGGUACUCUAUUGCUCUUCCUAGGGGCAACACGGGUCCCAACUAUGCCAAGACUCCACCUGCCAACCGUCCGUGCUGGAACUGCAAUCAGACCGGGCAUUGGCAGAGCAACUGUCCUUACCCGCCAAAGAAGGGCAACCAGGGGAACGUCCGUCAGGGGCGUGUUCAUUACACAACUGUGGAGGCAAUCCCUGCUGGUGAGGUAGUCACGGCUGGUAAGUUUCUGGUCAAUCAACAUGAUGCACUUGUGCUUUUUGAUUCUGGAGCAUCGCAUUCGUUUGUGAGUUCUGAAUUUGUAUCUAAACAUAACAUCAAGACCAUCACACUUGAUAACGGCAGUUAUUGUAUUAGUGUGGCGGGAAAUGAUAUUUCCCCCAAUCAAGUGGUUUUGGGGGCACUCUGGAAUAGGAAGCCGCAGUUCUUGCUGAACGGUUUGUUCUACCCGGUGUGGGCAUAGAUGUAAUUCUGGGGAUGAAGUGGAUGAGUGGUAAUGGAGUUCUUAUAGACACCACCACUCGUGUAGUGAUGUUGAAAGACCCAAAUACCAAGGAGGCAUUUCUAGUGCAACUCCCUCGUGAUAUUCAAAUCCGUAGCACUGUGAAUGCAGUUACAUCUAAGGCUAUUCAGGAUAUUCCGGUGGUGUGUGAGUUUCCGGAUGUUUUUCCUGAUGAUCUACCCGGGCUUCCUCCGGAUCGGGAUGUGGAGUUCAAAAUUGAAUUGAUUCCAGGCACCGCUCCUAUCUCUAGAAGACCUUAUAGGAUGCCGCCCAAUGAAUUAGCUGAGCUUAAGACCCAACUAAAUGAGUUGUUGCAGAAGGGUCUUAUUCGUCCUAGUUCAUCUCCUUGGGGUUGUCCGGCUAUCUUUGUGAAGAAGAAGGAUCAAUCUUUGCGCAUGUGUGUGGACUAUCGUCCCCUAAAUGCGGUGACUAUCAAGAACAAAUACCCUCUUCCUCGCAUUGAUAUCUUGUUUGACCAGUUGUCCAAAGCUAAGGUAUUCUCCAAGAUUGAUUUGCGAUCUGGGUACCAUCAGAUCAAGAUCCGUCCCGAAGAUAUACCUAAGACGGCUUUCUCGACGAGGUAUGGGUUGUAUGAGUACCUUGUCAUAUCCUUCGGCCUUACAAAUGCACCUGCUCAUUUCAUGUAUCUUAUGAAUUCGGUGUUCAUGCCCGAAUUGGACAAGUUUGUGGUGGUCUUCAUUGAUGAUAUCUUGGUAUAUUCUUGCAAUGAAGAGGAGCAUGCAGAGCAUCUGCGUGUAGUGUUGUCGCGUUUGCGUGAACAUCAGCUUUAUGCAAAGUUUAGCAAAUGCGAGUUUUGGCUAAAGAAAGUACCUUUCUUGGGCCAUGUCUUAUCUGAAGAAGGCAUAUCGGUGGAUCCGGCUAAGGUGCAAGAAGUGCUGGAUUGGAAAGUUCCAACUUCGGUACACGAGGUUCGGAGUUUUCUCGGUCUGGCUGGGUAUUACCGUCGAUUUAUUCCGGAGUUCUCCAAAAUAUCCAAGCCUAUGACUCGUCUACUUCAGAAAGAUGAAAAGUUUGUGUGGACACCUGAGUGUGAAGAGGCAUUCCACAAGUUGAGGACACUCUUGACAUCAGCUCCUGUCCUAGCUCAACCUGAUAUCGAGAAGCCUUUCGAUGUCUUUUGUGACGCAUCAGGCAUUGGUUUAGGCUGUGUGUUGAUGCAGGAAGGUCGCGUUAUCGCGUAUGCCUCGCGCCAACUUCGAAAGCAUGAGGUCAAUUACCCCACUCAUGACUUAGAAUUGGCAGCAGUUGUUCAUGCUUUGAAAAUCUGGAGGCAUUAUCUGCUGGGUAAUCUGUGUAAUAUUUACACCGAUCAUAAGAGCCUCAAGUAUAUCUUCACUCAACCUGAACUGAACAUGCAGCAGCGAAGGUGGCUUGAGUUGAUUAAAGAUUAUAAUCUGCAAGUGCACUAUCAUCUGGGCAAGGCAAACGUAGUGGCGGAUGCCUUGAGUCGGAAAGCGCACUGUCACUCAAUUCAAGUGGAAGAUCCGUUGUUGUCACAUGUGAUGCAUCCGCUUGUACUCCACCAAAUUUCUCUGGAGAGUACCAUUUGCAAUCGAGUUAUCGAAUUGUAGCAGACAGAUGUAGGCAUCCACCAUAUAAAGAGGAAAAUGAAGGAAGAAGAAACCAAGCAUUUCCGGGUUGAUGAGAACGGAAUCCUUUGGUUCAAGGAUCGACUUGUGGUCCCAAAAGACCGCAAGCUGCGAAAUCAGAUCCUAUCUGAAGCUCAUUCAUCCAAAAUGUCUAUCCAUCCUGGUAGUAGCAAGAUGUAUCAGGAUCUGAAACCUUUGUUUUGGUGGAAAAAGAUGAAAAAGGAGAUAGCUGCUUUUGUCGCUCGUUGUGACAAUUGUUGUCGGGUGAAGGCUGUUCACAUGAAAGCUGGUUUGCUUCAACCCUUGUCAAUUCCUGGUUGGAAAUGGGAAGAAGUCAGCAUGGAUUUCAUCUGUGGACUCCCAAUUUCUGUUAAGGGUUACGACUCCAUCUGGGUGGUUGUAGAUUGUUUGACCAAGGUUGCUUGAUUUAUUCCAGUCCGAACUGACUAUCGUCCCCAUCAGUAUGCGGAGUUGUAUUUCGAGCACAUUGUUCGACAGUAUGGUGUGCCUCGAACAAUCAUAUUUGAUCGUGGACCGCAGUUCACUGCUCGUUUUUGGGAAUGUCUUCAUGAGCAGAUUGGUACUCAUUUGGUCCGCAGCUCUGCUUAUCAUCCCCAAACAGCAGGUCAAACUGAACGAGUUAACCAGAUCCUUGAAGAUAUGUUGAGGGCAUGUGCUCUCUCAUCAAAAGGUUCUUGGGUUAAGUGGUUGCCAUUAGCUGAGUUCUCCUACAACAAUAGUUACCAGGAGAGUAUCAAGAUGGCUCCAUUUGAAGCCUUGUACGGUCGAAAGUGUCGAACCCCGCUGAAUUGGGUAGAAGCUGGAGAGCGAAGAUACUAUGGCAUCGAUUUCGUGAACGAAGCAGAGCAGAAAGUCCGUACUAUCCAGCAACAUCUGGAAGCUGCUCAAGCUCGUCAGAAAAGUUAUGCCGACAAGAGAAGGAAGCCGAUUGAGUUUUCAGUUGGUGACCAUGUGUACAUCAAGGUGUCUCCGAUGAAGGGUGUACAAAGGUUCGGAGUCAAGCGAAAUCUUGCACCUCGCUAUGUGGGACCUUAUCGGAUUCUCGGAAAGAAAGGGAAUGUGGCAUACAAAGUUCAACUCCCAGUUGCGCUUCGAGCCAUUUUUCCUGUCUUCCACGUAUCACAAUUGAAGAAGUGCCUUCGUGUACCGGAGGAACAAGUGGAAAUUCGAGAUAUCAAGUUGAAGUCAGACUUGGUAGAGGGGAGGGCUGUAACACCCCAGUGUUAUGGUUGCAUCAAGCAUGUGCAUAGCAUGAGCAUCAUCAUUUACUCAAAGCAUAUCAUGAUCAUCAUCUAUCUUGAGCCAUGUCAUUCUAUGCAAAAAUGUGUUUUAAAUUGCUUAAAUAGGCUUCCUAUGCUUAUGUUUGAGUGAACAAUGCUUGUGUUUGUGCUUAAUGCCUUGGUAAUUAGUUUAUCUAUGCUUAGCUUAAUCUUGGGAACAAUGUUCAUGUUGAUCACUUUUCCAAAAUAUGCUUUUAAGUCAUACUUAUGAAAAUAGACCCUAGAAACCUCUUUUGCUUAGGCUUUUAAAAAGUGUUCAUAAAAUAUUUGCAUGUCAAAACUUUCUACAGCAAAGUUGUAGCAAAUUUUAUAAGGAACAAAAGUUGUUUUAUGGCCAUCUCAUGAAAAUGAUCACAAAUAGCUCAAAAGUGACCUACAAGGCAGAUUUGGGGCUGUUUUCAACAGUUAGAAAAUUUUCUAAGUCUUGGAACGAAACCAGUUUGCUCGAUUGAUUUUGAAAACUUCAUAACUCUCAAUCCAAGCCGAUCUAGCUCUUGCUCCAGUUGACAAAGUUGUAGAUCUCGCUUAGUUCUCCAAGUUUGUCAACUACGCCAUCUUCUAAUUCGCUCUGGGUUGGGAGAUAAUCUCCGGUGAAGUGGCUCUGUCAGACCAGCACCCUUUCUUCUGAAUCGAGCCUGAGCUCGUCGACGUGGCCGACCGCCGGCAGAGCUCCAUCACCAUUUGUCGACCGCACGCCGCUCCUGGCCCCGCUUGUCAGCCCUCGUCGCGUGCAUGACCUCCACGGCGACGUCCCGAGCGAAGUGGACGCGUCCACUCGCUCUGCCUCGCCCUCCUUCGCCUGAAACUCGCCCGCAGCGAGCUCUCCGCCGCGAGCUCACUCCGGCGAGCUCGUGUGCGCUCCUCACUGCGCCUCCGUCCACCAAAUUCCACCCAAAGCUCCGCCGUGAGCCGCUCUCCAAGCUCCACCCUCUAACUCGCCGAGAAACCCACCGGUGAGCCGACAUUCCCUUCUUCCCCCAAAUCGGUUCGCCGUGACCUUCUUCUCCGGCGAACUCAAUGUCGAGCGCUGUGAGGCUUCUCAUCGUCUUUGGUUAGGUCCUAGAGGUAGCUUAGGUCCUUAGCGAGCUUUUGCGCCACCUGGUGGAUGCUCUACCGGGUUCUCCGUCGCCGGACACGGUGCGCAGCGCCGCCGUGCUUCCGCCGGAGUUGGGUGCUCUCGUGGCCAGCGCGUUCCACGGGGAUCCAGGCCAAGCCGCGCACCUAGGAAGCUUCGCCGUAGUCCGCUGGUGCUGUAGAAGGCCUUAGGUCGCGCUCUACCGGCCUGAGGGCUCCGGCGUAACGCCGAGCACCUCCGCCGAGCCGCCAUUGUCGACGGCGAGCCUCUUCCGGUGGCUCCGCCGUGGGAAAAGUGGGGUCAAUCGAGUCGUUAGGGUUUGGGGAUCACGCUGAUGCCCUUGGCUUGGCCGGAGACCUUGCCGUCGCAGAGAAAUCGCCGGCGAAAGUCGCCUCGGCCGCGAGGAAGAAGAGCCUGACAGAUGGGACCCACUGUCAGCGACUCUCUCUUUCCCUCCUUUUCUUUUAUUCAAAAUCCUGAUUUUUGGCUUUCUUGCAAAAAUCAUAUCUCCAGUUUCUGAGAUCCAAAAGUUGUGAAACAAAUUUUUGUGGAGUUUCUUGAGAUAGCUAGUAUUUAAUAAAAAUAUAAAAUGAAUAAUGUUUUCUGAGAAAUCAUUUAUUAAGGAUUUAAUCUUGUUAUUUAUGGAAAAAUGCAUAUCUCUUGUUAUACUGCUUAGUUUGCUUUGGAAAUUUUAUGGUAGCCUUUGCAUGGCAUUAGAGUGCUCUGAUAAUUAUUUCAUGAUUUUUAGAGCACUGCAGUUCGGAUACGUAAUUUGUGUUUGAGAUAUGGCUUGUUUCUUUAAAUAAAUCAUAUAAAAUAAUUGGUGCUUAUGCUGAUGUUCUACUUUGGUGGUAAGUUUGUUUAUGGUACUCCUAAGAUGUAAAUAAUCUGAAAUCUGUUGUUUAACACCAUAUAAGUAUUGUUUCCAAAUUUAUGAAAUAAAUGCCUUGAUACGUGUUAAAUACAUAUCUUUAUUUUGGUAUGUGCAAUUGCUGUGAAAUUUUUAUGGUGAUACUUUGAUGGUGUCCUUGUGCUUCUGUAAUUUGUGUAGAUUUUUCAGAGCAUUUGAACUAGUAUCUUGUAAUUAUGCUCUUAUUUAGAGUUAAUUAAUAAAUGUCUUGUUAAAUAAAUGUUUUGGGGUUUCCAUCUGAUGAUCUGGUAACCUUGUAAUAUGUUUGUGCUCAUAGGCCAUGUGGUUGGCAUGGUUUGUGUCUUGAUCAUGUCAUUAAAUAAUUAACUAUAGGGUUAAAUGCUGUUCUGGACAGCAAGGUAGCAAUUUGGUUAUUACUUAAUGAUAACUUGACUUUCUGUGGAACUUGUCUAAAGCAAAGAUGUUCCAAACUUGUUGAACUAACUAUGGUUUAAAUUUGAGGUCGUUUGGCCAAGUAGUUUAAAAGUUAUAGCUGUUUCAAGUUGGGUUCCAGGAAUAGGUGUUCUCUGUUUUUCUGGGACAGAACCUGGAACUUUGUUUAAAUGACCAGUCUCAUGUAUGAAUCUUGCUGUCAUGUUUAAAUAUUAAUUGUAGACAAUUUCAUAAGCUUUCCAGAAUGUCCUUACUCAUGUUUGUUGGACCUGCCUAUCUUUAGUUAUGAUUUAUUUACUGAGCCUCUCUGUUUGUGUGUUUGCUGCCUUAGUGUCUUGAAAGGUUUUGGGUUAUGUUAACUUGUUCAAUUAUGCGAGUUAGUAUAACUUUUGUCCGUAAAUGAGUGUCCAGUGAGUUGCUUGUGUCAUUAAGCAUUCAUCGUUAGCAUGUGCAUUAUCUUAUCGUUCGAGCAUGCAAUAGGUGCACCGGACGUGGCAGUUUCCUUCGAGCUCCAAGCGACUCCCGAAGGUCAUGAGGGCAGCCAGGAGGUGGAGGUCCAGCAAGCCGGACUCGAGGAGCCCGAAGAAGAAGUUGAGUGCCCGAAUCACGAGCCGGCAUCGUUCGUGAAAGGCAAGCCCCGGAGCAUUCUAAGUCUCCUUCUAUUUUCGAAAGUUUACUUAAUAUGUUAUACCUAUUGAUGCAUUAAGUCUAGGAGUUGUGAUGAAACUGUUGCUGCAUUCUACUCUAUCCUUGUCCAGAUAACUCACCCUCCCUGGUUGUAGAGUUAGGAUCGAGUAGCAGCUUAGAUAUGCUUUAAUCGGUAGAAGUCGGGUGAUAUCCUGUCAUCCGCGCGAUAUAGGGUUAUGUCGGAUCACGAUGGUCUAUAUGUGCUAUCGUGGAUGGAACCUGAUUAAAGCGACUUAAGCCGGGCGGAGUUUUGCAAGUUUGUAGUAACUCCGUCUGUGGCAGCUAAGGACUGAUCGUUGUACGUCCUCUUGUCAUGUUGAACGCAUGCCUAACACUUAGUUGGCCGGAUAACUCGUUCCGACCGCGAAGCCGAGUAGUAUGACUCAGGCCGGAAGACCGGCAAGUAUAAAGUGCGCACUACCGGAGGAAGUGCGGUGUGCGGGGGACCAUUGGCGUAAGUCCAAAGGCAGGUGAGUUAAAAUUCCUGACCUCCCUGGCAGAGUGGUAGCCCUGGGAGUGCGGCGCUGAUCGGAACCGCGAUUUCUGAGUUGUACCAAAGGUGACCCGUGGGCUCUCCGGCAGGGGAUGCCUGGGUGAGUGCUAGGAAUAAUCCUCCAGCUGGAUAGGAAUUUGAUUCGAAUCGCCGUCUCUCCCGGUUAGUGAGAACUUGACAGAGCAGCGGCAAACGUAGCAUUCACUAAUGAAUUUGGUUCAUGAUAAUGAUGAUAGCAAGAAGAACAUAUGAUGAAUUUGAUAUGGUUAUUAUUGUUUGUAAUAAUCAAGUGAUGUGUUGUAGUACAGGUGCUAAUCUAGUGGUAAGCUGAUGAUAAAUAAAUAUGAUGCUCUUAAAAUAACUUGGUUGUAAGUUAAGCUUUUGGCAAAAGGUGAGUCAACCAACUCCACCUAAGAUUUAGCCUUGCAUGAUCCUUGGUGUCUUUUGUGUUUUACUAGACGGGUAAGUCUAGCUGAGUACAUCCUCGUACUCAGGGUUUAUUCCCACCUGUUGCAGAUGAUAUCUUCUAUGACGGUUUCUGCAAGACCUGUCUCCAUCCCGCUGGGGAUGAGGACUAACCGUUGGGCACGGUUCUCUACUCUUCUCGUCUAUGAGGCUUUUGGAAGGAUGGCAUAGACUCUGGCAGUAACAAAACUUGUGAACUGAACUUUGAACAAGUGUGUGUAACUAUUUUGCUUCCGCUACUUCAAACUUGGGUUGUAAUAACUUAAUGACUCCGAUGUGGUGCCGCUUCAUCGGCAAUGACUGACUAUGUAACAUUCGUUGUGUUUAUGUUGAACUAUUACGAUCUUGGUUUGUUGCGAGUUGGUUUGAAGUCCUUCGUGAUUUCGAUUGACUACCGGGAUUAUAUGGGCUCAAGUUUAGAAAUUUGAUUGUUUGACGAUCGUUUCUGCACUUGAACUCAUAUAAUUUGGUCGGUUCUGUGACAUAAGGGAUCAAGGAAAACCGUGCGAAUAAUGUCGGUUUGAUCCGACGGCCCAGAUUCAUCUGAAAAGACUAUAUAAGCAAGGCCCCCUGGCCCCUAGAGAUCAUACCUCUUCUACAGAAUCAAAGCUAGGGUUUCAAUUCUUCAUCCAAGUAGAGAGGAUCUCUCUAGUUCAUCUAGUUCUACCUCUAGUUCAUCUAGUUCUAGUUCUAGUUCAUCUAGUUCUAGUUCUAGUUCAUCUAGUUCUAGUUCUAGUUCUAGUUAGUUCUAGUUGUAAUCUAGAAAAUAGGGAGAGAGAAGAGGAGAGCAGAGGAGGAGGAGCCGGAUCUGUCGGAUGUUCCUCAACAUUAUACUUUUGCAGCAACUGGUUCGUUCUUCAUCGUUCUCCAGGUUCUUCAAUUCAUAAUUCCUGAGUUCUUUAAUUACUUUUAUUUACAUUCAAGUUAUUUAUUAGAUUCCAGCUUGCAUCAAGUGCUCUAAUCUUUGCAACAUUAGAGUAGUAAUUAAUAGAUUAGACAUGGUGUUUAGUCUUGCAAUUACCUGGAAUUGCACCCAAUCCUGCGGAUUGUUGUGGUAGCCCUAGGUUAGUGACAGCCCUAACGGUCGACGUAUUCCACCUUGUUCGGAUCGGUGUUUGUAGGACCGUAUUCAGAGCUUCCUAGCCCCCUUCUCAUCUCUUCUGUGGUUAGUGUUCUGAUGUCCCGAAAUAAAUAAUCUUUGAAGUAAUUCUUGAUUCUUAGAUCAACUAGAGAACUCUCAGGAAACUUCCUCUCGUCCCAACAAAAAUAAUUAUAUAGUUAUCCUUGGGCGAUCUUGAAUUUUAAUUAGUACACUCACGUUCCCUGUGGAAAAUCGAUACUCUGGAAUACUCCCGGGUGAAAGCUACAUUGGUAUCCGUGCGCUUGCGGAUUUUUUCUGUUUGCGUUUAAAAUACCCAACAAGCUUUCUGGCGCCAUUUCCGGGGAACGGUAGCUGUGCUAGUUUUGAACCAAGUCGUCUGUGUAUCCUUUUUCUUUUCCCUUUUUACCACACUCACCUUACCAUUUUCACCACACCACAUGGAUUUCACUCCUAUCUAUAAAUUCUUUGCUCCAAAGGGUGAGUUAUUAGAGCCAUCACCAUCAUCACAUCCAAUUCUUACACAUGGCUACGACCUCGGCCCUGAUCUAAUAGCCAUGAUUCAGGAGCAACCCUUCUCUAGGCAAGUAGAUGAAGAUCCAUACACCCACCUUAGAGAAUUCUAGCAGUUGUGCUCUUGCCGAUCUAUUUCCGACAUGACACAAGAAACCCUUAAAUGGAAAUUAUUUCUAUUCUCCCUUUUGGGAAGAGCAAAAAAUUGGUAUGCUCAUUCUGUAGGAGGUGUUAAUGGAAAUUGGGAUGAACUUCGGGACAACUUUUGUCUCGCUUUCUUCCCACUUUUUCGAAUCGCUGACCUUAGAAUCAAAAUUCUUACAUUCAAACAAAGAGAGAAUGAAACUUUAGGAGCAGCUUGGGCUAGGUUCACAAGCCUUACCAAUUCUGGUCCAAACCUUGCCCUGCCUAACCAUGUACUGUACUACCACUUUUAUCAUGGUCUAAACAAGGAAGCUGCUCUUCACCUCGACAUUGCUUCAGGAGGCUCAUUCACACACAAACUCAUAGAUGAGGGGAGAGCUAUCCUAGAGAGAAUCCUUGAAAAUACCCCUUACACAGGCAUUUAUGAUGAGUUUCCUGAAGGAGAAAAAGAAGUCGAGCCUGAUCCUAAACCAAAAGAUGAGGAACUUGCAACCGAGUUAGAAAUUCCACCUGACCCAUCCAUUAAUUUGGUUGUAGAGAAACCUCAUGAUAAAGGAAUGCAAAACCAACUAAGGGAUGAUGAACCACCACCUUUAGAGCAUCCCUUUGAAUUUGAGGAAGAUCUUUUUGAAGAUUAUGGAAACACCUCGAAUUUUCCUAUCCAAACACGACCUCUAGCAGGGACCACUCAAUCCGUUCUAAGAUUAGAACCUAUUGACAUAGAACACAUCAAAAGGCUUUCGGCUAUUCUGAGUUAUGAAUGGCUAACAGAAGUAGAGCUGUCUCCUGAGGUAGCUCGGAUCAUCACUCCUUCAACCAUUCUUCUAUGCCAAAUUAGAAGGUCCGCAAGGAAGGUCCACUACAAUCCAUAUGUUGGGAUAAAUGUUAUUUCCAAGGAGUUAGCUGACACUCUUUAUCCCAACGAGUCCAUUUGGAUUAAUUCUAGAAAGCCAUGGGGUAUUAAGGGUAGUUCCUGUUAGAAUCAAGGACUCUGGAAUAUGUCUAGAUUUUCAUAUUUUUGACAUACCGGAGAUUCCUCUCUUGAUUGGCAGACCAAUCAUGAAACUUCUACAAGAACAACCACAACGAGGUCAUUUAGACUUCAAGGUUGGGAAUUCCACUAUUAUUGUUCCUCUUGCUAGAUCAAUUAACACGAUAGUGGAACCCAAACUUGAACCAGAUCCUAUUGAGGAGAUCUUAAUGCUGACUCAAGAGGAGAUGGCCCAACCAUUCUUUAAUCAUGAACACUUUGUUCAAGAAGAAGAGUUGGUAGAACCCGUUGAGCUAGACAAAAAUGAACAACCUUCACCUCCUUCGAUAGAAUUAAAACCUCUUCCUUCUGGCCUUAGAUAUGUCUUUUUGCACAACAACCCAAAAACUCCAGUAAUUAUCAACGACAAGCUUUCCAAUUAUGAAACACAACAACUUGUCACUAUUCUUGAAAGGCAUAGAUCAGCAUUUGGCUACUCUCUCGAAUAUCUCACAGGCAUUAGUCCCAUUCUCUGCACUCAUUGUAUCCCUAUUGAUCCCAAUUUUACACCUUCAAGGGAACCACAACGGAGACUUAACAAUGCUAUGCGAGAGGUUGUUAAGAAAGAGGUCCUCAAACUCUAUCAUGCUGGAAUUAUUUAUCCUGUGCCACAUAGUGAGUGGGUUAGCCCUGUCCAAGUAUUGCCAAAGAAAGGAGGAAUGAUGGUCGUUAGGAAUGAGAAGAAUGAACUCAUCCCUCAAUGAAUUGUCACUAGGUGGCGUAUGUGUAUUGACUAUCGAAAACUCAACAAGGCUACAAAUAAAGAUCACUUUCCGUUACCCUUCAUUGAUGAAAUGUUGGAACGGCUUGCAAACCACUCUUUCUUCUGUUUCCUUGAUGGUUAUUCUAGAUAUCACUAAAUCCCAAUCCACCCAGAUGACUAAGAAAAGACUACCUUUACAUGCCCGUAUGGAACUUUUGCAUACCGACGAAUGUCGUUCGGAUUGUGCAAUGCUCCAGCUUCUUUCCAACGGUGCAUGAUGUCUAUUUUCUCGGACAUGAUUGAGAAGAUCAUGGAGGUUUUCAUGGAUGAUUUUACCGUCUAUGGCAAAACCUUCGAUCAUUGUUUGGAGAAUUUAGAUAGAGUCUUGCAGCGAUGUGAAGAAAAGCACUUAAUCCUGAACUAGGAGAAAUGCCAUUUUAUGGUUCAGGAAGGAAUAGUGCUAGGACAUAAAGUGUCUGAACGUGGUAUAGAGGUGGACAAAGCAAAGAUUGAAGUUAUUGAAAAACUUCCACCUCCCACGAAUGUGAAAGGAAUCCGUAGCUUUUUGGGACAUGCAGGGUUCUAUAGACGCUUUAUAAAGAACUUUUCUCAAAUUGCUAGACCCCUAACUAGUCUCCUAGCUAAGGAUGCACCUUUCAUCUUUAGUGAUGAGUGUCAUGAAUCUUUUCAAACUCUUAAGAAAGCUCUCAUCUCAGCCCUGAUUAUCCAACCACCUGAUUGGAAUCUUCCUUUUGAGAUCUUGUGUGAUGCUAGCGAUUUUGCGGUUGGUGCCGUUUUAGGACAAACCAAGGAUAAAAAGCAUUAUGCCAUAUCCUAUGCUAGCAAAACCCUAUUUGGACCACAGCUUAAUUACACUACAACUGAAAAAGUGCUUUUGGCUGUUGUCUUUGCUAUAGACAAGUUUAGAUCUUACUUAGUGGGGGCAAAGAUAAUCAUCUGUUCAGACCAUGCUGCUCUCAAGUACCUCCUCACUAAGAAAGAUGCUAAGCCUCGUCUAAUUCGAUGGAUUCUUCUACUCCAAGACUUUGACAUAGAAAUCCGAGAUAGGAAGGGAGUUGAGAAUUCUGUAGCCGACCACUUGUCUAGGCUUCAGUAUUUGGAAACGCGUGAUGAGAUUCCCAUAAAUGACUACCUAAGGGAUGACACCCUACUUAAGAUAACACAGGCAGAUCCAUGGUACGCAUACAUCGUAAACUUUAUAGUAAAAGGCUAUGUCCCACCUGGUACAAACAAAAGGAAGUUGCUUCACGAUAGUCGUUUCCACCUUUGGAUGAGCCAUAUCGAUUCUGAGUCUGCGCUGAUGGACUCUUGAGAAGUUGUGUUCCUAUGGCUGAGGCUACUCAAAUUAUGGAAAGAUGACAUGCCUCACCAUAUGGAGGACACUAUGGAGCAUUCCAGACACAUGCAACAAUUUGGCAAAGUGUUUUCUUCUGGCCAACAAUGUAUGAAGAUACAAAGGACUUUGUCAGGAGAUGCCACCGAUGUCAAAAACAUGGGAAUAUCAUCUCACGAAAUGAAAUGCCUCUCACAAAUAAUCUUUAAGUAGAACUUUUCGAUGUAUGGGGCAUUGAUUUCAUGGGGCCAUUCCCUAUGUCCAGGAAUUGCGAAUAUAUCUUAGUAGCUAUGGACUACGUGUCCAAAUGGGUAGAAGCCCUACCUUGUCGAUCAGCUGAUUCAAAACAUGCCAAGAUAAUGUUCCAUGAAGUAAUCUUUCCUCGCUUUGGUAUACCCCGGAUAGUUAUAAGCGAUGGAGGUUCCUGUUGGGUAUUCUUAACAUCAUUACCAAAAGUAGACUAAGUUCUCUAAAUCUAGUAACGGUGCCAAAAAUGCCAAACCUAUCCCUCACACCACUUAAGCCAAGUUGUCAUCCCCAGCAUGAUAUGAGAGACGCGGUAUUGAAAUAUGCAAUUGCUCUUCUAAAUAAAUAAUGAAUGGGAUCUGCAAGCGCACAGAUUAAUACCGAUGCAGCAUUUUAACCGGGAAGUAUUCUAGGUAUCGUUAUUUAUAUUUUUACCACUAGGAAGGGAUUAGCAAUCAUCAAUAUUGAUUACAGAAUAGAAUAUGAGAUUGAGCAUAUAUCAUUGCAUGUAUAAUUGAGAACAUUAUAUCUAACUCUUCAUACAGGGAUAAGUGUCACAUAAAGGAUAUAUGAAAUAAUAAUAGUGACAAGGAUAACUAAUCUGAUCUAGCCACAUAAUAAAUAUUAUAAGCACCUCAAUUAGAUACUCUAGAAAGUCAUUAGCAUGGUAUUAGAACGAACUACAAGAAUAUUCCCUAAGUUAUUCUCAACUAUAUAGUCUAGCAUUAUCAUAGUUAGUGCAAGCAUACUUAGCAAUCAUUGCGAGACAAGACUACGCCCAUGCAUAGUGAUAUUAGCAAGGAAUAUGAGAAACAUAGCAAUCACUCCCCUGUAAUAAUGUUGCUCUGCCAGCCCAAUACACGAGAGGGGGACUAUAUAAGAAUCAAUGAAGCUGUCACUAUCACGAACCACCCCACGAUCUGGCAUAUUGGGUACAAUCGCAGAUAAAUACGGUAUAAGCACCACGCCUACAAAAUAUCUAUCAUUUACCCAUGGAUCCGAUGGAUAAACGCUAUACGAUCCUAAGCAUGUAUAUAGAUCGUAUCUAACUAAGCCAAGUACAUAACUAUGAUAAACUAAGAACAAUAUAAUCUUGAAUAUAAGCAAGUAGAGCAAAGUCAUAAGCAAUAUAUUGAAGUAGAACAAAGUCAUAUUCAUAAUAUUGAAGAACAAAGAUAAUUAGAAAGCAAUUAGAAGCACAAUUAGAGAAUUACCAAGAAUCCUCUUGACAGAUCCGGAAACCAAUCGAAGAUUGACUCCUUCUAUUUCUAAUCCUAUGUAGCUAUGCUAAUCUAGAUGUCUAAUUGAUGUGGUGGCUCUAAUCUUGAUCAGAGGCUUCUUCUCCCUUGAUGGAACAAUGAACUAGGGUUGAGAGGCUCUCUCCUACAGGGGCCAGGGGGUCUGGUUUUAUAGUCCCUUCAAGUGAAUAUGGGCCCUUGGAUCAAACCGACAUAGAUUGUAUGGUUUAGAUUCAUCCUUUAGGUCGGUGGAGAUCUCCCGCGAAGCAGAGUCCUGAUUGGACUCAGGGGCAGGGCGGGCGCCCUGACUAACUGGGCGGCCGCCCAGGGUCUGGCCCCGUUUCGCCUCCGCUUCGGUCUCGUGGCUUCUGGAGUCUUCUAGAUGUGAGAUAAUUGCGCAGCACGUUAAUAUCUUUACGUAAUCCCGACAUGUGGGCCUUUCUUCUAUAUUUCCUGAUAACCCCCUGCAGAAAUAGACAAACACCAAAACUCGUGGAAUUCUGUCAGAUAAAACCCUAAGUCUAGAUCUUGAUUUCAUUUGGAUCCUUUUCUUUAUUUAUUUGAUAAUUAAAUUUGAUACUUAAGGACCGUCAACAAACUCCCCCAAGCUUACCUCUUGCUCGUCCCUGAGCAAGGAUAGACUCAGCUAUGGAUCAUAAGUUGUUGCAUUAUAUUUUAAAAAUUUGACGGUACACAUGCUUUUAAAUAAGAUCUCAUCUCUGAGUUAGAGUAAACUGUCAAGACUUAAAACUUACUUACUUUACCUUUACCAUGGGACUUGUAACUGACACUUCUGUCUUGAGUGGUUAAAAGAUAGAACAGUCUAGCCAAGUGCCAUGUCUCUUAUUCUUGAUCAGCUAUAGCUCUGGGGUUUUUGCAGAUUUUCAAAUAAAACUCAGAAAUUCCUUGUAUGAUUCUCUCAGGUCUCUCUUUUGUGGUAUUUUUGGAUCCUUACCAAGGCAUUGAUGGUAUAUGCCUUCUCUCAAGAUAUGUAAUAUUUGUGGUAUAAGGCAUAGUGACAUUGCCUUCUCUCUCACCCUACUCUAAUAAGGCUUUAAUAUCUGAAGCUCAUAGGUGGGAGAUAAAAUAUACAUACUUACAAGACAUUUGUUGCAUAGUCAAACCAUGGAUCCAAAGUAACAAGCCAAUAAGUUUAAUCAAGAUGUGCAUGGGUGGCGAAUGAAUGGUGUAUGGUGGUGAUAGUGAUAACAAUGGUGAAAACAAUGGUGGUGGAAGUCUAAUUCUACUUUGCUCUUUGAGGGGAUACAUACCUUCCUUGCUAUUGAAACUUUAUGAGGAGAAUGAGAUGCUCUUCUUUUUUUUCAGGUGGGUAUCUUGCACCCCUAAUUCUACUAUCGGACACUUGUCCAUUUUUACCUCUCGUCUCACUUUUUCUUUUCUUUCGAGGUUCCGAGCACUUGCUCCUUUUUAUUUCCUCGUAUAUUUUUUUAGAGCACUCAUCUCUUGAGAUAAUAUAGCAAGUGGUAGUAACAAGAUAACUUGAGCAUUUAUUUCACAAGGGGAAAACAGAAAUAUUUUUGGUUAUUCUCUCCCGGAUUAGGAGUAGAAUAUUUUUGGGUGAUUCUGGAGAUGGAAUGGGUGGAUAUAUGUGGAUGGUACUUCUGGAGUAGAAGUAGCAUAUAUGAGUGAACGUACAAGUGAAUCUUGAUUUAACCACAUGACAAGCUCCUAAGGGUCUACACAGCUUGACCACACUCAAUGCUCAUAAGCAGUAAAUAUUAAAUGUGUGGCUCAAAGUCUAGCAAGCAUGUAUAUAUGGCUGUGGUAGGAAUUUAAACUCUCAUCAUACAGGAACUCAUCAUGCAACAUUUUAAAGAUUUUCAAAGAUAAAAUUCUCCAGAAUUCUAGCAUCUCUAGGAACAGAUAAACAGCACCUCAACCUUCCCAUAUCAUAUCCGUUAACAACUUACACUUCAGAUCAAGUUUUCAUCCCACAAGUUUAGGUCUAGAGCAAGCUUUAAAUUAUAACAGUUAUAUCUAAAAUUGAGAGAGAACUUAAAAUGUGCACAUUAGGCAGAGCAACUAUUCAUCAUAUCCAUGCUUAAGUUUUAUUUAGAUACAGAUUAGCAUAGCCACUUUAUUUAUUUAUUAAACACACUAAGCAAAAGACAUAUAUAAGCAUAAAAUCUUUAUUUGGUUUUCCCAUAGUUUAUGUGUAUUUUAAUAUUCUAAAAUAAUAUAAGUAUAAAGAUAGAUAGAAAUACUUAUCGUGAUAAAUGGGGGUGCUCUCCCCCAAGCUGAAUUUUGACGUAAUUUCUCUUGGUGUAGCUAGCAGGUGGUAGAGGUGUAUUUGAAAGUCAGCAGCAUUCUGACAGCGAUUAGAAUGUCCUCCGUCUACUAGUCUUCUUGAUUCUUAAAUUUCUGUGGAGCUCAAAUAGACAACAAAGCUUGUGGAACUUAUUAAGUGUUAGCAUAAAUAUCUAGCCUUUAUUAUCUUGAGACUCCUUAAUAAAUAUUACUCCCUGUUUUUAUAUUUUUGUUUUAUAAAGCAGAAAAAUAUUUAUUUUAUUUUUAUGCCACCACAGUGAAUGUGCUUAUGGGUUUUAUGCCACUUGUCUACUCACAUGGGGCUUAUAGUUUUUAACAUUUUUAUUUUCUUUUUAAGAUAGUGUGAAUAUGAUUAACUAAGUAAACUAUUUGAAAUAACUGAAAGGGAAAGGAUAACUACCAAGUUUACCUCUUGGCAAGGCGUUCGGUGUUUUUAAGUCCUCCGAACGGGACUCUCCAAUUUCUUAAUUGUCCUGAGGUUCGUUGGGUGGCGUAGUCGGUACUUCCGGCAGCGCCUCCUCUUCUUGUAUAGUUAUCUUCAUUUUCCAUACCUGACUAGGUGCUUCGAUCUCCUCUGGAUAAUUCUGUUUAAAUUCAACGUCUUCUGACCUUACAACUUCUCCUUCAUAGUCUGCCCAUCCGUCCUUGAUGAUCUGCCUCCUCUGGUUGCGGUUCCGUCUUUUUCUGACCUGCUUAGAUUCUUCAAUGAUAUAGUUAGGGUCAGUAAAAUAACGGCGUACCUUCUCUGAGGGGAAGUGCAUAUGGACUUCUCCGGUUCCAAUGUAGAUAAUUGCUUUAACGGUGCUGAGGAAUGGUCUUCCAAGGAUGAUGGGUGGAUCAUAUUCAUCUUCUCCCAUGUCAACAACUUGAAAGUCUGUGUAGACAAAGUGAUCGUCUAUUUUGACUGGGACAUCAGAUACUAUUCCUUUAACUUCUCGAAAUGUCUGAUCUGCCAUCUGGAGCUAAAUGUAUGUUGGUCUUAGUGGCAUGGUCCCGAAUAAGAGCCGAUAAGUGACUGCGGCCAUUAUGUUGACGCCCGAUCCGGUGUCGCAAAUCGUCUUGUAGAAGUUGUAUCCAUUUAUGGAGCAAUAGAUGCUUGGCAUUCCUGGGUCGUCCUUCUUGGUCAAAAACGGUGACUUAAGUUGAUGAUCUUGGCCUCCAUGGACUACAUUGACCAUCUUAGCUGACUCGGUCCACGCUUGUUCCUGUUCCUCCUGUUGGUCCUCUUCCUUGAUUCACGUCUGGAUUGAUCUUGAAUUUGUGUAGUCUUGUUCUUGAAGAAAAAUGUCUCCUUCUUCCCUUUGACGUAGAAACUGAUCUUGGCAGCACUAGCGAAGAUGAUAGCUCCCGUGGUGUUCAAGAAUGGCCUCCCUAGGAUGAUAGGUGCUCUCUCAUCAUUUUCGGUCUCUACCACUACGAAGUCUGCUGGGGCAUAUAAGGUACCAACUCGGACACAAAGGUUCCUCACUAUUCCCUUUGGAAAAGUUAUCGUCUAAUCUGCAAACUGCAAACACAUGUUUGUUUCUAAUAAAGGAUAUGUAAAGAAUUUUUCAUAGAGUACCCUGGGUAUAAUGUUGACACUGGAGCCAAAGUCACAGAGUGCUUCUGGGAAGUCCACCAUGCCGAUGGAGAUCGGGAUGACGGGGCGUCCUGGAUCGCCUCUCUUGACCGGUAGAAGGUCAGUAGAAAAUUCAGUGACGGGGUUACUCCAAUUACCUGCAUCAAACAUGUCUACAAGAUUUGCAGAUUCUAAUCCUUCCGGUUGUGAUGGUAUACCGGGGUUAGUAGUAGGAACAGCAGCAGCUAUUUGAUUUAAUUGGGAUUCAAUCAUUUUAUUAAAGCUAAUUUGAUUCUUGAUGGCAGUAGAGAAAUUAUCCAUCCUAUUAUUUAUAUUUUCUAGCAUUUUAUCAUUAGAUGCCAAUUUCUUAGAU